AAGCAUUUCCAGAAUUAAAUGACACUUUGUGUGUGCCAGACACAGUGCUUGGAGCUGGGGACUUAGUGGCAAGCCAAACAGACCGAGUCCCUGUCCUUGUGGAGUCUGGUCCUGUAGAGAGGACAUGCAGUGAGCAAGUCAGUAGCAGGCAACAAAGGGCAAGCAGUGGGAAAGUCACUGAUGACCACUCAAGGUAGAGGAGAUGUAGGAGUAGCAGGCCGUGGGGUGUAGAAGGAUCUGGAGACUUCUCUGAGCAGGUGAUGUUUCACAUGGUGAGUAAUGAAAAGAAAAGAACCAACACAGGCCGAGGGAGCAGCAGGUGCAAAGGUCCUGAGAAUUCCCUGGGCUGUAAGCAGAAGGUGGAUCACGCUCCUCUCUCUUCCCCCAGGACCUGGUACCAAGAAAGAUUUUAGUCGAUGGAUGGUUGGAUGGACAGAUGGAUGGACAGGGAAGUUAUUUGAUCCAAUUGGCCACUUGUCCACUGGGCUAUAUGCUGUAUUCCUCUUCUGCCAGGGAUCCUGCAGAAAGACCAGCCUGCAAGGGGUCCCGAGCGUGCCCCUGCCCUGUCUAACUAGGCCCCCAACCCACACAGAACUCCAUCAUACAUCAGAAUGUAAAACUAGAAAUGCCUUGGACUGAGACUCUGAGGCUCCCUGUGACCUAAAGACUGCUGCCACCCCAGACUGGCAGUGCAAUCAGUGGGCACAAUCAUGUACACAGGCCCUCCCCUACCACUGAACCUUCUGGGAAUGAAGUGUGAUAGAGAUUACUAACAGAAACUGGAGGCAACCUACCAAAGCCGACUGAGAGCCCAGAAACCUCCGGGAAAAGGCACACACACAUAUACACCGCCUUCCAGUCUCCCACACACUUCUGAAGAAUGGUACCCUGGAAAUAAGGUCACAUGUCACACCUGGGCCAUCCUAGGAAAGAACACAGUCUGGGGCAUGGCCCUGUGGCUGGAGUGUUAGCCUCUCCAGAAUGAGGUCUCGAGUUCAAUUGCCAGCAUUAUAUGUGAACUAGUCAUGUUCUGCUUCUCCCUCUCUCUCCUCCUCUAUAUCUCUCAUCGAUAAAUAACUCUUUAAAGAUGUGAAAAUAAAUAAAUAAGACAAAGAGGUGAGAAAUCUUCACAAUUCCUGUGUCAGGGUCUUGAGGCCUGGAAGACUGACCAGCUCAGAGUCACACAGCUGUGGGGGGAGGAGCUUGAGCUGAACAGAGGAUGCUAACCCCUGGCCCAGAGGCCUCUCUCUGAUAAUGAUGUGUUUCUGGAAAUCUCUCCUGUUCUAUUUUCCAAAAUGACUCAAGAAUACUUAUACUGACAGAGGACAAAAAUGCUCCUAGGGACUCCCUGGUAAGGAUGCUACCAUCUCUCCAAGGGACUUGAAAGCAGAACUAACUAACCUUCCCAGGAAGUGAGACACCAUUUAUGUACCCUCAGAAUUCUGGAAGUCAUCUUCUUAGACUUGGAACAUAGAAUAAUGGUCAGGCAAAAAGACUUUCAUUCCUGAGGCUUCUAGGUCCCAGGUUCAAUCGCCAGCACCAUCAGAAGUCAGAGCUGAACAGUGCUCUGGUAAAAAAAAAAAAAAAAUGAAGAAGAAGAAGAAGGAGAAAGAGAAGGAGAACUAAUAAAAAUCCCUUCUUGUCUUGUCCUUACUUCACCCCAGCAAUAUAGAGAACUGGACCCAUUUCACUGAAGCCCCAAAAGAUGGGGUGAUUUGCCAAGGGUCACAUAAGCAACUUUGGUCCUGACAGCCAGGCUACCUACCACCGCCUUGCCACCUCCAAGCUUAGUACCUUCCCUGACACCUUGUACUUAAGUUUGACCUUCCCCUGGAGAAAUCUGAGCGGAAUCUACACAGCCUCAACUCCCGCUCUGAGUUCCAAUUCUCUUUCUGUUCUCCUGCCUUUACUAUAAAAGCAACAAUGCAUGUUCACUUAGGAAAAUCUGCAAAAGGCAGGAAAGUCAAAAUAAGGAAGAAAAAUCACCACCCACGGGUCCCACCACCCAGUGACAAUCAUUGUUCAGGUUUGAUGUAUUUCCUUCCAUAGUUUUUUUGUUUGGAGCCUUUUUUUAAGCAUGGCUGAGAUCAUACUGUACAUUGAAACUAAAUAAAAUAAAAUAAAAUAAAAAA